rnacentral:misc_RNA from 1 species
AGCCGCGGUAAUUCCAGCUCCAAUAGCGUAUAUUAAAGUUGUUGCAGUUAAAAAGCUCGUAGUUGAAUUUCGAGACCGGCUUACUGGUCGUGCUGUUGUACGUACUGGUAUAAUCGGUUUCUCCUUUCUGACGAACUUUAAUGCCAUUAAUUUGGUGUUUUAGGGAAUCAGGACUGUUACUUUGAAAAAAUUAGAGUGUUUAAAGCAGGCUCACGCUUGAAUACAUUAGCAUGGAAUAACGGAAUAGGACGUUUGAUUCUAUUUUGUUGGUUUCUAGGAUCGACGUAAUGAUUAAUAGGGAUAGUUGGGGGCAUUAGUAUUCAAUUGUCAGAGGUGAAAUUCUUGGAUUUAUUGAAGACUAACUACUGCGAAAGCAUUUGCCAAGGAUGUGUUCAUUAAUCAAGAACGAAAGUUAGGGGAUCGAAGACGAUCAGAUACCGUCGUAGUCUUAACCAUAAACUAUGCCGACUAGGGAUCGGAUGAUGUUAAUUUUUUAAUGACUCAUUCGGCGCCUUACG